rnacentral:ribozyme from 1 species
UUUUUUUUUUUUUUUUUUUUUUUUGUCUGUGAUGAGAGAGAGUGAGCUGGGGAAGGAGCGAGAGGCGGCACGGAGGGGAGGAAUGAGCAGCGAGGGACGAGGCAAAUAGAAAGGUUUAGAGGUUAGCUUUUUUUUUUU